rnacentral:rRNA from 1 species
AUUGAACGCUGGCGGCAGGCCUAACACAUGCAAGUCGAGCGGAUGACGGGAGCUUGCUCCUUGAUUCAGCGGCGGACGGGUGAGUAAUGCCUAGGAAUCUGCCUGGUAGUGGGGGACAACGUUUCGAAAGGAACGCUAAUACCGCAUACGUCCUACGGGAGAAAGCAGGGGACCUUCGGGCCUUGCGCUAUCAGAUGAGCCUAGGUCGGAUUAGCUAGUAGGUGAGGUAAUGGCUCACCUAGGCGACGAUCCGUAACUGGUCUGAGAGGAUGAUCAGGAACACUGGAACUGGGACACGGUCCAGACUCCUACGGGAGGCAGCAGUGGGGAAUAUUGGACAAUGGGCGAAAGCCUGAUCCAGCCAUGCCGCGUGUGUGAAGAAGGUCUUCGGAUUGUAAAGCACUUUAAGUUGGGAGGAAGGGCAGUAAGUUAAUACCUUGCUGUUUUGACGUUACCGACAGAAUAAGCACCGGCUAACUCUGUGCCAGCAGCCGCCGCGG